rnacentral:rRNA from 1 species
AGAACGAACGCUGGCGGCAUGCCUAACACAUGCAAGUCGAACGAGAUCAUGGCUUGCCAUGGUCUAGUGGCGCACGGGUGCGUAACGCGUGGGAAUCUGCCCUUAGGUACGGAAUAACAGUGAGAAAUUACUGCUAAUACCGUAUGAUGUCGAGAGACCAAAGAUUUAUCGCCUAGGGAUGAGCCCGCGUAGGAUUAGCUAGUUGGUGGGGUAAAGGCCUACCAAGGCUACGAUCCUUAGCUGGUCUGAGAGGAUGAUCAGCCACACUGGGACUGAGACACGGCCCAGACUCCUACGGGAGGCAGCAGUGGGGAAUAUUGGACAAUGGGCGAAAGCCUGAUCCAGCAAUGCCGCGUGAGUGAAGAAGGCCUUCGGGUUGUAAAGCUCGUUUUAGCGGGGACGAGUGAUGACGGUACCCGCAGAAUAAGCCCCGGCUAACUCGUGCCAGCAGCCGC